ACGGCGGCCGUUGGGGUACUGCAGCCAACAGUGAAGCCGGCACGGGAGCGCGCACAGACCCCUCACAGCACUGAGUUGUGAUAGUGACGUGUGCAAAACCUCGUCAAUCAUGUCAAGCGACGAAGAUUUUGAUUCGAGCUUCGAGCUGCCAGCUUAGCUGAGAUGCAGACGGCUUUACAGCAUCUGAGCCAGGAGGAGAGGGAUGUCCUCCUUCAGUCGGUGGUGACUCGUCUUCCAGGGGUGAUGCUGGACAUCCUCGAGUUCCGGCACCAGACACCAGGACCACAUCAUCCAGACACAGGGCAGCCUGCGUGGUGCACCUGCUUGAACUGCCGACGCAUGCCAACACAGUUGGAAAACCUGUGCUGUCGGCAGGCUCCAGACCAGUGUCUGAGCAGGAGUGCCCACCUGGAGCUGUACUGUCUGGAUGAGGGUAUGCUGCGUCUGG